rnacentral:rRNA from 1 species
CUAGCCUCACACGUAUUAGAGGUACUGCCUGCCCAGUGACAUCGAUUCAACGGCCACAGUAUUUUGACUGUGCAAAGGUAGCAUAAUCACUUGUUUUUUAAAUAAAGACCUGUAUGAAAGGCAAGACGAAAGCUUAACUGUCUCCUCUGUCUAGUCCAUGAAACUGAUCUUCCUGUAAAAAAGCAGGAAUAAGACCGUAAGACGAAAAGACCCUAUGGAGCUUAAGACAAUAAACAAACUACAAAAUCAACCAGUAAAACUUGUUACACGUCUUCAGUUGGGGCGACUACGGAGCACAAAAACCCUCCGCGAAUUAAUUGCCAAGCACCACAAGCCAACGCACUAAAAUUUUUAACCACUGAUCCAAUACUAUUGAUCAACGAACCAAGCUACCCUAGGGAUAACAGCGCAAUCCUCUUUCAGAGUCCUUAUCAACAAGAGGGUUUACGACCUCGAUGUUGGAUCAGGGCACCCAGACAAUGCAACCGUUGUCAUAGGUUUGUUUGUUCAACAAUUAAAGCCCU